AUUGAACGCUGGCGGCAGGCCUAACACAUGCAAGUCGAGCGGAGCGGCGGACGGGGGAGUAAUGCCUAGGAAUCUGCCUGGUAGUGGGGGAUAACGUCCGGAAACGGGCGCUAAUACCGCAUACUCUCAGAUGAGCCUAGGUCGGAUUAGCUAGUUGGUGGGGUAAAGGCCUACCAAGGCGACGAUCCGUCACUGGUCUGAGAGGAUGAUCAGUCAAACUGGAACUGAUACACGGUCCAGACGCCGAAGGGAGGCAGCAGUGGGGAAUAUUGGACAAGGGGCGAAAGCCUGAUCCAGCCAUGCCGCGGGUGUGAAGAAGGUCUUUGGAUUGUAAAGCAUUUUAAGUUGGGAGGCGUGACCAACAGAAUAAGCACCGGCUAACUUCGUGCCAGCAGCCGCGGUAAAUA
rnacentral:rRNA from 1 species